rnacentral:misc_RNA from 1 species
UUUCCGUAGGUGAACCUGCGGAAGGAUCAUUAAGGUUAUAGUCCCCCGGCCCUCUGGGCUGGGGUCUUCUAUACCACCCUUGGUUUAUUACACCUUUGUUGCUUUGGCAGGCCUGUCCUCGGGCUGCUGGCUCCGGCCGGCUCGGGUCUGCCAGAGGACCUAAACUCUGUUUGUAUAAGAGGUCUGAGUACUAUAUAAUAGUUAAAACUUUCAACAACGGAUCUCUUGGUUCUG